GACGAACGCUGGCGGCGUGCUUAACACAUGCAAGUCGAACGGAAAGGCCCCUUCGGGGGUACUCGAGUGGCGAACGGGUGAGUAACACGUGGGCAAUCUGCCCUGCACUUCGGGAUAAGCCUGGGAAACUGGGUCUAAUACCGGAUAGGACCACUUGGCGCAUGCCUUGUGGUUGAAAGCUUUUGCGGUGUGGGAUGGGCCCGCGGCCUAUCAGCUUGUUGGUGGGGUGAUGGCCUACCAAGGCGACGACGGGUAGCCGGCCUGAGAGGGUGUCCGGCCACACUGGGACUGAGAUACGGCCCAGACUCCUACGGGAGGCAGCAGUGGGGAAUAUUGCACAAUGGGCGCAAGCCUGAUGCAGCGACGCCGCGUGGGGGAUGACGGCCUUCGGGUUGUAAACCUCUUUCAGCAGGGACGAAGCGAAAGUGACGGUACCUGCAGAAGAAGCACCGGCCAACUACGUGCCAGCCGCCGCAGUAAUAC
rnacentral:rRNA from 1 species